UACGUAGGGUGCAAGCGUUAAUCGGAAUUAUUGGGCGUAAAGCGUGCGCAGGCGGUUAUGUAAGACAGUUGUGAAAUCCCCGGGCUCAACCUGGGAACUGCAUCUGUGACUGCAUAGCUAGAGUACGGUAGAGGGGGAUGGAAUUCCGCGUGUAGCAGUGAAAUGCGUAGAUAUGCGGAGGAACACCGAUGGCGAAGGCAAUCCCCUGGACCUGUACUGACGCUCAUGCACGAAAGCGUGGGGAGCAAACGGG
rnacentral:rRNA from 1 species